GGGUUGUGAGGUUAAGCGACUAAGCGUACACGGUGGAUGCCCUGGCAGUCAGAGGCGAUGAAGGACGUGCUAAUCUGCGAAAAGCGUCGGUAAGGUGAUAUGAACCGUUAUAACCGGCGAUGUCCGAAUGGGGAAACCCAGUGCAAUUCGUUGCACUAUCGUUAACUGAAUACAUAGGUUAACGAGGCGAACCGGGGGAACUGAAACAUCUAAGUACCCCGAGGAAAAGAAAUCAACCGAGAUUCCCCCAGUAGCGGCGAGCGAACGGGGAGCAGCCCGGAGUCUGAAUCAGCUUGUGUGUUAGUGGAAGCGUCUGGAAAGUCGCAGGGUACAGGGUGAUACUCCCGUACACUAAAACACACAGGCUGUGAACUCGAAGAGUAGGGCGGGACACGUGGUAUCCUGUCUGAAUAUGGGGGGACCAUCCUCCAAGGCUAAAUACUCCUGACUGACCGAUAGUGAACCAGUACCGUGAGGGAAAGGCGAAAAGAACCCCGGCGAGGGGAGUGAAAAAGAACCUGAAACCGUGUACGUACAAGCAGUAGGAGCCC
rnacentral:rRNA from 1 species